GAUGAACGCUGGCGGCGUGCCUAAUACAUGCAGGUCGAGCGAACAGACGAGGAGCUUGCUCCUCUGACGUUAGCGGCGGACGGGUGAGUAACACGUGGAUAACCUACCUAUAAGACUGGGAUAACUUCGGGAAACCGGAGCUAAUACCGGAUAAUAUAUUGAACCGCAUGGUUCAAUAGUGAAAGACGGUUUUGCUGUCACUUAUAGAUGGAUCCGCGCCGCAUUAGCUAGUUGGUAAGGUAACGGCUUACCAAGGCAACGAUGCGUAGCCGACCUGAGAGGGUGAUCGGCCACCCUGGAACUGAGACACGGUCCAGACUCCUACGGGAGGCAGCAGUAGGGAAUCUUCCGCAAUGGGCGAAAGCUUGACGGAGCAACGCCGCGUGAGUGAUGAAGGUCUUCGGAUCGUAAAACUCUGUUAUUAGGGAAGAACAAAUGUGUAAGUAACUAUGCACGUCUUGACGGUACCUAAUCAGAAAGCCACGGCUAACUACGUG
rnacentral:rRNA from 1 species